rnacentral:lncRNA from 1 species
AUCCCCAAGAAUAGUGUUGUAAGGGUAUUAUUGUAAAAAUAAAGUAAAAGUAAAGAUAAGUGUAACAUACUUAACAACAAAUAUGUCUUGAGUAUUCUUUUAAAUAUAAAUAUUAAAUGGGCACUGAACUCAAAAUAUAGAAAUUAAAAGAGUAUUUAUCCAUAAUAAUAAUAUUACUUACUCCAAUUUGGUGUACACAGUAAUCUUGAGUUUGUUAUGAACUUGCUAGAAAAUCAGUAUCAAUAAUCACACACACACACACAUAUUCAUGUCUGUUCAUUAAUUUGCAAUGUAAUUCACAAUUUUUGUUUUCUUAGAGCUUGAUCUUGCAUAUUAAAGUUCAAGAAUAAUAAUGGUAAAUCUCAAACAUUUGUCCCCUUUAAAUGACAAAUAUUAAAUUAUCUGAUCAAUACGUAGAGAUCUAAGCCUAACCAUACACGAAUGGAAUUACUUUUCAUGACUUUCAAGCUAAUUUUCUAGUCUUAGUUAAAAGAUUUAUGACCUCAUGUUCUCUUAAGCUUCAUUUAAUUUGUAUGUAUCAUCCAGAUAUAAUCUUAUUUAGUAGAUAUCCGACCUUUUCUUUGCUCUCCGUAAAUGCAUAAAACUUGAUUAAGUGCAUGUUUGGAACUAUGUGCUAUGACUAAAUUUAUUACGAAUAAUUAGUUAUCAAGUCUAAGUAAAGUAAGAGUUCACAAGAGUGAAUAGUUGAUAAGUAUUAAUAAGUAAGAAUGAUUGAUGAUAAAAUUAAACUC